AUUUGACAUAUGCUCUUAAAAGAAAAUUGUGUUCCUAUAUGCACUAAUGCAUGAGAUCUGUCAACUUAAGGUUAACGAUGUAAGCUAACAUCUCGAUUUUAGUAACAUCACAUAAUGCGUGCUUAGUAUUUUGUAGUCUUUCAUAGAUUUAUUAAAGAUACAGUGUUUGAUUUAAAAUGCUUUGUGCAUCUUCUUGGAAAUAAGCACUGGCUAAAGGAGAUGUCCUUUACACUGAGAUGAACCAAUUAUAGACCAUAAUCAAGUUUUGUAUUUGUAUAGAGCAUUAAGUCCAAUAAAAUGACUUUCUUUUCUUCUUUUGAUUUUUCAGAAUGGCUGUUUACUUUACUCUGUAUAUUCAUAAGCUUCAAAGUUGUUUGAACUUUUCGAGUCCUAAUUUAUGUUGGCUUAAAGUACUGCUUUGUCCAUCAAAAGGCUUUAUCGUCCUUCAUUUGAUUCUUCAUUUGUCAUAAAGAUUGCAUGACACAAGCAAGGAAAGAAAACCAUCUAGAAGAUAAUCUGAUUUUAAGAAGAAACUUGUG
rnacentral:misc_RNA from 1 species